UUUCUUCCUACCACGGAGGUGGAGAAACGACUAAUGGAAAAGUGUGAAAACAAUAACAAAACCUGGAACAAACAUACAAUUACAUCAAGGUGUCCAAGGCCGCUAGAAAUGAAGACAAGUUCGAAGGUCCAUAUAGGACAGAUGGAGGACAGAAUUUG